UUUCGCUGUUUCGUACCUAAAUCCUUAUUUAUGGGUGAUUAUCAACAGGAUGAUAGCGAUAAAAAGGCAAAAAAUUUAAUAGACAAAUUGAAUAAAGUUUGGAUUGAUGAAACGUUUUCACCAGAUAUAUUAAUCAAUAAAAUGGGUUUAAUACAUGACGUAAUGAAAAAAAUAAAACAAUCAGAGAAUUCACAAGAUAGUAAUGAAGUUGUAGCAUCAAUACAAAAACUUGAGGUUGAAAGAUUUAAGUAUAUUUUAAGUCGUUAUGUAUUUACAAGAUUAAAUAAAAUAGAAUUAUAUUCCCUAUAUAUCAUGACCUAUAAAGAUGAUAGUUACAUUAAUAAAUUAACAAAUGAUGAAUAUAUUUACUGUGCUGAAUAUUACGAAAAUUUAAAAACACAUUUAUUUGAAAAUGCUCUUAAAAAUAUGCCAUUCAAUAUGCAAAGUAUUGAUUACAAUAAAAUAGGACAUAGACCCAACCUUGAACAUUAUGUAUUUAUGAAAGCAAAUGAAGAUAUUAUAAAUGAACACUCUAUAUUAGAUCAAAGCUUAAGAUGGCGCUACAGCUGACUCAUAUGUAUGGACACUUUUAAAAGCCAUUUAAUGAAUGAAUUGUCAAUCUAGUAAUAUAUAGACAUUUGCAAAAGGCUCGAUUGGGCCGUCGCGAUACUUCAGCUCACGCUCUGAUACUUCUCUCAUGUUGGAGCAACCGGAAUAUAUGAGCAAAGAUUCACAAUAUAUAAUUAAAUUUAAAGCAAUAUUGGACUCAUUGGGUGAUGAGAAAAUUACCUUAUUAUGAUGAGAUGACAAUGACACCAAUCCCUCAUAAUAUUAUUUAUAUAAAAUACAUUUAUUUAUUUAUCGAUUAUAUCGCGUAUAACUUAACCCAUGUUGUUAAAAUUUGAAGGUGAGUAGCGACCGAGUUAUUUAAAUAUUUUAUAGGAAAAAUCAGUAAUAAAUAGCUAAGUCGUUACUCAUAUUUGCCACAAUUUGAAAAUAUAUUGGACAUUAUUCUUAUAUUAAUAAAAUUAUUUUAUGUUGGUAUGUUGUUAAUUUUUUUUGCCGAUGAUAUUACCUAAAAGCCUAGGGAUGUAAAUUUCAUGGGAAACUAUAUUUCGGGGAAACUACGAAAAAAAACGGGAAUAUUUUUUUAUAAUAAUUUACAGGUCAAUAUUUAUUUUUUUCCUGAAAAUAUAUAGAUUAUUGUUACAUGUUCGCUUAAUUUGUUGUAAUUCAUUGUAUAUUUAAAUACUUCUUAAAUAUUUCGCUUAUUCAAUUUGUUGUAAUUGUAUAUUUAAAUAUGUUCAUAUUAUCUUUUUAUUCAAUGAAAUUAACAUGUAUAUAAAUACAUCUCAAGGCGAUUAAAUAUAUAUAUUUUCAUUUUCUUUUACCACUUGCUUUUUUUUGUAUAACCAUAUUAUAAAAAAAGACAUUACAUCAACGUCAAUAUUCUAAUAAUAUAUUCAAUAAAGACUAUCAUUUUUCUUCGAUUGAAUUUAAUAAAGUGUCUUUUUUCUGUCUAAUUUUUAUCCUGUGCGACCAUCCUAAUAACCAUUCUAGAUUAAAUCUUCAAGCCUAUAAUUUCUCUUUUUUGUUUUUAUCAUGGUGGAGGAUAGGAAUCAUAUCAAAAUCAAAGUUCUACUAAAAACAUUGGAUCUGAAAUUUGUAGCCGAAAAUAUUGUUGAUGAGGCAACUAAGAAAUACAAACUUUUUGAAACAAUUGACAAAGAUAUGGCUGUUAGUAUUAUGG